rnacentral:sRNA from 1 species
GCUGGGCACGGUGGUGCAUGCCUGUAAUCCCAGCAGCUUGGGAGGCUGAGACUGGAGGAUUGCAAAUUCAAAGCCAGCCUCAGCAACAGGGAGGCACUCAGCAUCUCAGAGAGACCCUGUCUCUA